rnacentral:rRNA from 1 species
AUCGAUGAAGAACGCAGCGAAAUGCGAUAAGUAAUGUGAAUUGCAGAAUUCAGUGAAUCAUCGAAUCUUUGAACGCACAUUGCGCCCUUUGGUAUUCCAUAGGGCAUGCCUGUUCGAGCGUCACUAACAACCCCAUCAUACAAGAGUGUGGUAUUGGCAGAAGUGGGUAGGGCUAGCAGUGCUGGUCCCACUCUGCUGGAAUGGAUAGGCCGGAAAUGCAGACCAUGGCAACAAACUUUCAGAGUAUUUUGAAAUGUAAAUUAGUUUGGAGCUGGUCAGAAUCCAGGCUAUUGGACCCCCAUUCUGUGUAAAGCAGUAAUGUUGACCUCGGAUCAGGUAGGGAUACCCGCUGAACUUAAGCAUAUCAAUAAGCGGAG